rnacentral:other from 1 species
AUCCCUCUGCCAUGUUCGUGUUGCCGAUGUCCCUUUUGGUGAGCCGGUAAGAAAGCCCGUUGGGCGCCAGCUUUACCUGGCCGCGUGUAUAGCCGCCGCCCGGACAAUCUGUCCGGAACCAGCGGUCGGAUCACACAACCCGGGUAGUCCGGCGCCCCCUUAUUAAUUGCGGGCUCUCAAAAACGCAUCGCCACGGCAUUGCGGUGGAGGGUUC